CUGCCCGGGGUGUCCGGGCCGGAGGACGUCGCCGCGGUCGCGGCCCGGCUGCAGGACGCCCUGCAGACGCCGUUCGAACUGGACGGGCUGA
rnacentral:tRNA from 1 species